GACGAACGCUGGCGGUGUGCUUAACACAUGCAAGUCGAACGGUAAGGCCCUUUCGGGGGUACACGAGUGGCGAACGGGUGAGUAACACGUGAGUAACCUGCCCUCAUCUCUGGGAUAACAGUCGGAAACGGUUGCUAAUACUGGAUAUGAGCCUGCAAGGCAUCUUGUGGGUUGGAAAGAUUUUUUGGUUGGGGAUGGACUCGCGGCCUAUCAGCUUGUUGGUGAGGUAGUGGCUCACCAAGGCUUCGACGGGUAGCCGGCCUGAGAGGGCGACCGGCCACAUUGGGACUGAGAUACGGCCCAAACUCCUACGGGAGGCAGCAGUGGGGAAUAUUGCACAAUGGACGGAAGUCUGAUGCAGCAACGCCGCGUGCGGGAGGACGGCCUUCGGGUUGUAAACCGCUUUCAAUUGUGACGAAGCUUUUUGUGACGGUAGCAGUAGAAGAAGCACCGGCUAACUACGUG
rnacentral:rRNA from 1 species